GUGAUGUUUUCAUUGACUUUGGGGCAGAACAGGAAACAGUGGUCUACUGGUGCUUGCAGUCUGUUUUCUGAGCACCCGCAGCACCCACUGAAAUUAACUUUUGUCAGAAGUGCACAGUGCCUCUAAAAAUCAGGCCCUGUCUGACUCAGCUUAAAUCCUUCCAAGCCUAGGGACCAGAUCUUCAGAUAAAGUACAGACCAGACUUUAAGAAGGCUUACAGGGGAGCGAGGGCCACUGGCUUGGUAGGGUCAAUAGAAUCAAAGAAAUUAAAGGUGGGAAAAGAAGUUCAUCCAUCCCCCUUAGUCUUUUGGCUCUAACAACACAGGCUUCUAGCAUUGGUGCUAAAGGAGAGCUCCCUUACCUGGCAUCAGUAGCAGGCACUUUGGUUUCUGGAGAGCGCCACCAGCCUCAUGGACAAACAUGUCAGCAUAGUUCGUACCCUGCCUCCCCCGCCAGUGCUGAUGGGGCUGAUUUUCAAAGGUGUUGCUAAGCAUCUGAGGCGCCUGUUGGCUUCAGCUGAAUCAGUGGGUGCUCAGCACCUCUGGAAGUCUGCCCCUUUCCCUGCCACUGUCCACUCGAGAGAGGCCCAACAUGGAAAUACCAGGGAGAGGAGAGCAAGGGAGGCAAUGUCACCGAUGAGUGGAGUCAUCCGGGCCUGCAGGCUGGGACAGAAGGGUAUCGAAUGACCGUGACCGUGCAGCCGGGACUGUUUAUUCCAGUGAAGGAGAAAGUUAUCUCCAAGCCUGUGACCUGUAUGCUCUUUACUCCUGCGUAGCUCUGUCCGUUCCCCCACAGACCCUGAAGGAGAUCUCUCAGGCGGGACACUGUUAUUUAUCAGCCUACUGAGCUGCUAUCAGGGUGAGUUUAAGAUAACACCUUUUGUUCCACUGCAUUAUUCCUUGCAUAAUGAUAGGUUUCAGAGUAGCACAAAAGCUUAUGCUCAAAUAAAUGUGUUAGUCUCUAAGGUGCCACAAGGACUCCUUUUCUUUUUGCCUUAUUCCUAUUCAGGAGAGCGAUAGCACGUGUAAAUAUUUGUCAGCCCUCUGACCAGGGUUUGAUUUAUAAGCCCCCAGCACUCGCUCCCUGCAGGGUUUGGCAGGCUGAAUCCUAGUUGUGUGAUCUCUGGGUUCCUGCACAUGGUUUGCCGGUAAAUGCCUUCCAGACACCUACAUCGGAGCAGAAGCUUUUAGUACAGUGGCAUGAGGACACUGGUCAGAUCCUGAGCAAAUGUAAAUUGCCAUAGCUCCACUGAAGCUAGUGGAGCUAGGGCCAGAUAUACAAUGGUAUUUAGGUGCCUAAAGAGGCAGAUAGGCUCCUACUGGGGUUUACAAAAGCUUCUUAGCAGGUUAGGUGCCAAAUUCCCAUUGAAAGCCGGUAGGCGAUCAGUAUCCAACUCACUUGUAAAUCCAACUAGGCACCUAUCCGCAUGGUUAGGUGCCACAAUAUGUUUAUAAAUCUGGCCCCUCUGCAAAUUUGCAUCUGCUGAGCAUCCAACUCUGUCUUCUUUGGCAAAUGAAUCCAGUUCUGUUCCACUGUGUAUGUAGAGCGUUGCAUUAAUUUGAAUGUUUUCAAGGCUGAAGCAUUGGUUGUAUUUUGUUUCCUAGGGUUUCAUGGGCAUUAUUUGGUAAUUGCUUGGUGCAGCUGAGCUGUUUGCAGAAGGGAGAUGGCAAAUGCAAUUGAUAAUUUCAUAGAUUCAAGAACUAGAAUAGAGAUUCAGCCAGGAAUCGCUGACCUACCUUGUCAGUUUGACAAGAAGCAUGCAAUGUACUGUAAUAUGGUAUUGCCAUCAGCUGUCACACUUCAAGGCUGUGAUCGACUGGAUUGGCUACUCUGGUUGGAGUAUCAGCAACAUUAAUGGAGUGCAUUAGCCCAGUUGUUCUUGCUGCACAUCGAGUUCUUUAGGCCUGGUACUCUCCUCACUUAGCAAGGUGUGUAUCAGCUGACUUCACUGAAGUCAGUGGAAUGACCCCAGUGUAAAACUGGCGUGAGUCAGUGGAGAAUCAAACCCUGUGUUACUAAUCCAGUAUUAGGUUUGUGAGCACAAAUAGUUCCUCUUUGGAAACUGGGUUUUGUUUAUCUCUGUCCCAGUCUGACUGCCAGUUCAGGCAAGGCUUGGAGAGAGAUUAACCGAAACCUGCUCUAUCCCCAGUGAUAUGUGAACCUUUUCCCCCCUCAUGGCCAGCAAGUAGAAUUAAAAGGACAUAAGAACAGCUAUACUGGGUCAGACCAUGGGUCCAUCUAGCCCAGUAUCCUGGUUUCUGACUGUGGCCAGUGCCAGAUGCUUCAGAGGGAAUGAACAGAACAGGGCAAUUUUGAGUGAUCUGUCCCCUAUCGUCCAAUCCUGGCUUCUGGCACUUGGAGGUUUAGGGACACCCAAAACAUGAGGUUGCAUCCCUGGCCAUCUUGGCUAAUAAUAGGACCUCCCCUGCAUUUAAAAAUGCUUUUUAUAAAACCUAAUAGAAAAAUGGCCAUGACUUUUAUUUACUCAAUACAUUUAAAUUGGUGGAUUUAAACAUUCUCCAGAACAACAGCACUAAGACCAGAAAGUGAAACUGAUCAGUCUAAUAUCGCCUGGUGAAGCACAUACAUGGAAUAGUGGGUUAAAAGUAGAGCUGGUUGAAAAACGGGAAAUUUCUAUGGUUAUUUUUUUUUAAUGUUCACAGGUUUGAGUAUGUUUUGACCAGCCUUUAGUGUGGUUGAAAUUUUUCCAACAACUGGAAUUUCAAGGAAAUUUUUCCACAAAUUUUUUUUUAAAUGUCUUGGUUUUUUUGUAGACUUUUUUUAAUUUCUUGACCAGCUCUAGAAAAAAAGUGAGUUGGAUUUUUCUUUCAAAUCUAGGCAGUACUCCUUUAAAACUCUGUAUUCUUCCGUCACAACAGCUGAUCUCUAGCUCCAGUAAUGCCGAUAACGCUAGUGUCAAUAACAAUGUCUAUAUUACAGGGCAACAAUAAAACUUUGGCGACAUAGUCAUUUUAUUUCCUACUCCCUAUACACCUUUCCUGGCUCAACACAUUUGCAGAUUUUUGUUGCGAUUUUAAAUAGCAAAACUGCAGUGUGUCGGUUCUCAUGGUAACGAGGAAAUAAGCAUUUUUCUCCCCCUCCUUUAAGGUGGAUAAUUAAAGGAACCAUUUUCCCCUAGCUUCCGUGUGUGUGUGUGUUUUCUCAUGACUUAUCUUCACUCAGAAAUGAGGUCAUUGUUAGAACAUGAUCUUGAGGAGUUGAUUUAACUAACAUGAUGUUUAACAUGACUUUGCAGUCCGUAUCAGCUUGUAGGGGAAAAUGGUGUUUAACAUCAGUCUAGCUGGUUGGGGUUAAACCUAGGGGUCCAGCUGGCACCAUAUUAACACAGAGAUUUCUGUCUGCACUGACUGCAAAGGUGUAUUUAACACCACUUUAGUUAAUAUGCCUCCUCAAGGUCAUGUUCUAACAGCCUCAUUUUUGAAUGAGGACAAGGCCCCAGUGAUGCAAGAACCUUGAGUCACUAAGGCUCGGGGUAAAAGCAGACAGGUGGAGAAACAGCAGGAAGGUGGAAAUGGCUUAGCCCUACAGAUUAGCAACUCAGUGGGCUUUGUGCCUUAAUAUCUGCACGUGGAGUGGAGACCAGAACCAUGGGUUUGAUUCUGCUCUCACUUACUUGGGUAUUACACUGGUGUAACUGAAAGCAGAAAUAGAUCCCUUUAUCUUAAUUAGGACGCUGUCACUGUGGCCUCUGAUAGGAAGAUCCCAUGUCAGGUGCAGCCGCAGAUUUUUGAUACCUGCAAACCACACUCAUUGGAGUGAUCCCUACUCAAGGGGAGCAUCCCCAGUGGAGUCCUAGAACCCGGUCAUAACCAAAUGCUACAGCAUAAUUCGUAUCAGUUCAACCAGCUGGCUCCUAGUGAGAUCUCUGUCCAUAGGGCCUGAUCCACUGCUCACUGAGGUCUGUGGAAAGCCUCCCAUUGCCUUCAGUAGGCAAGCUGCCAUGCCUCUGACAUCUUAGUCCCGAGGGGUCUGCACAGCCCGCAGGGAGGUGAAGUCCCCAGAGAACUGAAAUCAUCGCACCCCACACUACCACCAUUUUCUAGCCCUAGUUGGCCAGAGUCUGCUCAGUUUCGCCAGUGCAAAUCUGGCAUUCCUCUGCUAAAGUCUGGAUUUACACUGGUCUAACUCAGAGCAAAAGAUUGGCCCGGGGGUUCAACACAUGCAGUUCGGUCUCUGUGCGAAUUGGGGUUGAAACUAACAAGGCCCCUCAUGCCAAGAGCCACGGAUCUUUGCCUGAAAAUAUUGCUUUAGCUGUACUGUACCUGUUCUACUUCUGUACUCUUGAGUCUUGUUAUUGAAUGCACCUUGCUGUCCCUUCAGAAUUUCUUGCUAGAGGUGUCCUGUGUUAUCAGGUGCAAAUAGUAAGAAGCCGCUUUCUGGUUUAUUUGUCACCUUCUUCGUCCUCAGCAUCUUGCUUUUUCUGGAAGGGGAAAUACACACACCCACAUGCGCAAGCCACCAAGGGUACCCAUACUGUGAAUGUUCUCUGGUGUGAUUCAUUUGCAAAUACAAAUAGUAUAUUUAACUAUUAUUGUAAAAACAGAAGAUGAAUUUUAAAAGGAAUCAUUUUAAAGGUUUAUUCCAAAAGCUGCAAUGAUUUUUUUGUAUGGAAAGUUUUUCUGGAAUUAAUCGAAAGGUACAAAAAUAAAUAAAAGAUGGUAUCCUUGUGUCGGAAUGUUUUAUAAAGAUCCUGCGAUUUUUGUAUUUCAGAUGUGCCAUGGACUGUUUUGAGAAUGUGUUUGUUUUCUUGCUAAGGCUUAUAUUACAAAUGUAUUGUGAAUGCUACGAAGCCAAGAUUGGAAAAUAAACUUUACUGAGUAGAUGGUA